ACGCCAUCACCACUCACAUGUCACAACUCCCCCACCACUUUCUCGUCUUCUAUUUCACUCUCUCUCUCUCUUUACUCUCCUCCUCUUUCUCUGUGUCUUGCGCUCGUCUUAUCAUCAAAGAUUCUGAAUACAGGGUUAGGGAGAUCGGAAGAUGGGGUACGUAGUGAUAAUAUCACUUCCUCUAAUACUGGCAUUCUUGAUCAUGGCCAUUGCCUGUUACCUGCUGGGUAGGUCCAGCGGCCGAAGCGAAGCGGCAAGAGCUCCACAGUUCUAUGGGCCUCCCGCUCCUCCAGUUGGGUCCCAAUCCCAUCUCCACGACAAGCCCCUUGCGGUCUAGAUUUUCACCUCUCUCUCUCUCUCUCUCUGCUUCACUGCUUUUGUAUAUAUAGAGAGAUGAGUGAUCAUUUGACAAGUUUUAUGGGACCAUGCGUUCGGUUGGUAAGAUGACUUGGUCUUUGAGGAGAGUAGGUGGCUUUUGAUUCCUUGAUACUUCUUGCGUUUUCCCUUCUCCGAUCUUUUGGUAGCUAAAACUGAUCAUAUUUCGUAUCCUUGACCUUAUCUUUUUGGUUUUUUGUUCCUCAAAAAGUGUAUAAUUUCCAAGUAGAAGUGAGGGUUUUGACUGUAUGUUCCGCCCAACAACCAGUAAAUUCACUUCUCAUGGAUCUAAUAGCUGUUGGCUGGGACCAAUUCUAUGGCUAGCUGCCCUGGACAUGGAUAAUGCAUUGUAUGUAACUCAAAACAUAUACACGUGAUGAAAAAAUGAUUUUAUUUCUAGUGGUCAA